rnacentral:rRNA from 1 species
AAAUAGCUCACUGGUCGAGUGACUCUGCGCGGAAAAUGUAACGGGGCUAAGCAUGCAACCGAAGCUUAGGAUUGUCUAAAGACAGUGGUAGGGGAGCGUUCUGUAUGGGGUGAAGUCGCAGCGAGAGCAGCGGUGGACUGUACAGAAGUGAGAAUGCCGGAAUGAGUAGCGAGAAUUAUGUGGGAAUCAUAAUGGCCGAAAAUCUAAGGUUUCUUGGGGAAGGUUCGUCCGCCCAAGGUAAGUCGGGAGCUAAGCUCAGGCCGCGAGGCGUAGGCGAUGCACAUACGGUAGAAAUUCCGUAACCACCGAACUUUAAGCAUGAGGGACACUUUGAGAUAGCGGAACCCGGGCGUUGGUUGACCCGGGCGAAAGGGACCGAAAUAUAGUAGGGAAGUCCGCGAUGCUCGGAGGCGAGAAAAGCUCAUGUGUAUACUAAGGUGCCCGUACCGCAAACCGACACAGGUAGAUGAGGAGAGAAUCCUAAGGCCAACGGGAGAAGGGUUGUUAAGGAACUCGGCAAGAUGACCCCGUAACUUCGGAAGAAGGGGAGCCUCGAAAGAGGCCGCAGUGAAUAGGCCCAAGCAACUGUUUACCAAAAACACAGGUUUAUGCUAAAUCGAAAGAUGACGUAUAUGAGCUGACGCCUGCCCGGUGCCGGAAGGUUAAGAGGAGAUGUCAACCGCAAGGUGAAGCACUGAAUUGAAGCCCCGGUAAACGGCGGCCGUAACAAUAACGGUCCUAAGGUAGCGAAAUUCCUUGUCAGGUAAGUUCUGACCCGCACGAAAGGCGCAAUGAUUUGGGCACUGUCUCAACAGCCCGCCCGGCGAAAUUGUAGUACUGGUGAAGAUGCCAGUUACCCGCAACUAGACGGAAAGACCCCAUGGAGCUUUACUGCAGCUUAAUACUGGAAUUCGGUAAAUCAUGUACAGGAUAGGUGGGAGACAGGGAAGCAUUGGCGUCAGCCAGUGUGGAGUCGCUGGUGGGAUACCACUCUUGAUUUGCUGGGUUUCCAACCUGCGGCCGUGAAUCCGGUCGGGGGACACUGUUAGGCGGGCAGUUUGACUGGGGCGGUCGCCUCCAAAAGAGUAACGGAGGCGCUCAAAGGUUGGCUCAGCACGGACGGAAAUCGUGCAAUGAGUGUAAACGUAUAAGCCAGCCUAACUGCGAGACCGACGGGUCGAGCAGUAACGAAAGUUGGAGUUAGUGAUCCGGUGGUAUGUGAGUGGAAAUGCCAUCGCUCAACGGAUAAAAGCUACCCUGGGAUAACAGGCUGAUCUCCCCCAAGCGUCCACAGCGACGGGGAGGUUUGGCACCUCGAUGUCGGCUCGUCACAUCCUGGGGCUGUAUUCGGUCCCAAGGGUUCGGCUGUUCGCCGAUUAAAGUGGCACGCGAGCUGGGUUCAGAACGUCGUGAGACAGUUCGGUCCCUAUCUGUUGCGGGCGAAAGAGAUUUGAAGGGAGCUGUCCUUAGUACGAGAGGACCGGGAUGGACGUACCUCUGGUGCACCAGUUGUCCUGCCAAGGGCAUAGCUGGGUAGCUAUGUACGGACGAGAUAAACGCUGAAAGCAUCUAAGCGUGAAACUCCCCCUAAGAUGAGCUCUCUCAUCCUUCAUGGAGUAAGGGCCCAGGAAGACUACCUGGUUGAUAGGCAAGAGGUGGAAGCGCAGUAAUGUGUGUAGCUGACUUGUACUAAUAGCCCGAGGGCUUGAUC